GAGGCUGUAGAGGGCAUCUGCU
rnacentral:miRNA from 1 species